UCCGAGGUUGUUGGGAUUUGUUGCUCUUCCUCCUGCUGCACUACUACCUCCACUUGGGAAAUGAUGGCUACCUGCAAGGGACAUGGUCUUCUUAGUCAAGAACAUCUUGUUUCCGGCGUAAAGCUCAUAUUCUGCAGGGUGGCUGAAGCUGGGGACAGCGGUGGAGUCGUCAUGGUAGAAAGGAGUCUCCAUCUUGGUUGUCAUGGAUGAGCAAGUCUCGCGACGGUAAUCUUCAUAAUCAGAUUAACCUCAAUAUCAAAAGAGAUUGAAACAUUCCACUGAUGUCAGUGGCUGGAGGAUGAAGAACGAGGAGAAGAAGAGGAGAAGAAGAAAAUGACUCCUGGCAGGAAAACACACAGGAAAAAGCAAAGGGUGGAUGGGCUCUCCCUGAGAGAUAAGCUGAGAAGCACUGUCAUCCGGGAGAGACUCAGAGUAGAACCGCUGCUCCGCAUUGAGACGAGCCAGAUGAGGGGGCUUGGGCAUCUGGUCGGGAUGCCUCCCGGACGCCUCCCUGGGGAGGUGUUCUGGGCAUGCUAGUAGGAGGCCUCAGGGAAGACCCAGGACACGUUGGAAAGACUAUGUCUCUCAGCUGGACGGAGUAGCCGAAGAGAGAGAUGUCUGGGCUUUUGCCCCCACGACCCGACCUCAGGUAGAGCCGUGCCGGUCACUCCCAAAGAGAAGUCAUUUUGCAUCUUGGAAUAUGCUCGCACACAGUCACCCAAGACUGUGCAGCCGUGUCACGGGCGGUGGACGUAUCCAACACUUAUGAAAUCACUCCCAUAAUAAACUCAUAAUGUUCAAGACCUAAACUGUCAAUUUCAUUUAGCUAGACUUCGUAGUUUUCAAGAUAAUUGCUUUUAAAAUUUGUGUCCGAUUUUUUGGGACACGCUGUAUUAUUGGCCACAUGCUGACCAACAGAAACGGGCAGGCACAUGACCCAACUCUGUGUGCAGUGAGACGGCAGGCUUGCGCACUAACAAGAACAAGAAGCCACACACACGGUGGCCUCAUCUUAGCUUUCUUCCCUGUGUUUGAUCACUAAAUCUGCACAUUUUUACUUCAGACAAUU